rnacentral:misc_RNA from 1 species
ACGAACCCUAGCUGAAGAAGUCGGGCUAGUUAUUAUGCACACUGCACGCGAGGAAGAUACGACGCCACCGUUGCUCUUGCUCCUUGCUCGCACGCACGCGCCGACGACCGGGCCAGACGACGGAUCAGCCGCGCACGACGCCGCCCGACCCCGCCGGCCGUUAGUUGUACCCGGCGCCGGCCACGGCGACGCUGCGGACCCUGCGCACGGCGGGGCCACCGACGCGCACGGCGUCGUCGGCGCCGAACUCGCACGGCGCGUCCUCGUCGAUCCGCCCCACCGCCACGCUCCGGCUGCGGACCGGCACCGUCGUCUCCGUGGCGGCCGCCGCCGCCUGGCGCAGGGACAUGGCGCGCACGAGCUCGUUGACGUCCUCCUCCUGGCCCCCGCCGCGGCGCCGGGAGCGCGAGCUGAACGUGGCGGCCCCCGGCGCGAACCCGCCGCGCCCGCCGUACGUGGCCGCGUGCGCCGGCACCCGGCCCGCGCACGCCGACAUG